CACACGACUCUCGGCAACGGAUAUCUCGGCUCUCGCAUCGAUGAAGAACGUAGCAAAAUGCGAUACCUGGUGUGAAUUGCAGAAUCCCGUGAACCAUCGAGUUUUUGAACGCAAGUUGCGCCCGAGGCCUUCUGGCCGAGGGCACGCCUGCCUGGGCGUCACGC
rnacentral:rRNA from 4 species